GUAAGGAAUAUUGGUCAAUGGACGCAAGUCUGAACCAGCCAUGCCGCGUGGAGGAUGAAGGUCCUCUGGAUUGUAAACUUCUUUUAUCUGGGACGAAACACUUCUUUUCUAAGAGGCCUGACGGUACCAGAUGAAUAAGCACCGGCUAACUCCGUGCCAGCAGCCGUGGUAAUACGGAGGGUGCAAGCGUUAUCCGGAUUCACUGGGUUUAAAGGGUGCGUAGGUGGGUAUGUAAGUCAGUGGUGAAAUCCCCGAGCUUAACUUGGGAACUGCCAUUGAUAAUAUAUAUCUUGAAUACCGUAGAGGUAAGCGGAAUAUGUCAUGUAGCGGUGAAAUGCUUAGAUAUGACGUGGAACACCAAUUGCGAAGGCAGCUUACUAUGCGGUGAUUGACACUGAGGCACGAAAGCGUGGGUAGCAAACA
rnacentral:rRNA from 1 species